rnacentral:lncRNA from 10 species
GAAUGUCAUUUAGCAGAUGGCAUUUGAGCAAACACUUGCAAAAGGUGAGGAAGAUAGCCAUCAUAGCUGAUGGAACAAGCAAAACAAAAGUCAUAAGGAAGAAUUGUACUCGUGUGUUUGAAGACAUCAAGGAAUCCGGGGCGAUAGACAUAGCAAGUGAGGGGAGGGUAUGAGAGGAAUUGGGUGGGAGGCACAGUGGGAGGCCAGGGCAUUUAAGAUGUUGAGGACUUUCGGCUUCAUGCAGCAUAACUGAGUAUAUUUAAGAAAGAAUGCUCAUUGAAUGUUCCCGUUACACCAUGCACUGAGGGUUCACAGUCUCUGCUUUGAAUCAGACAUUCACAGGAUCAGACAUGUGAUUCAGGGACUUAGCAAGAGGGAGUGAUCAGUGCAUUGGCCUCUGUUUUAUGACAAACCACCAAAGGACAUGUGUCCUCACACAACAGGUACACUUGCUUUGGCAUACAGAACCUCCCCAGAUGGCUGUGCUGGAGGUGAAAUAACAGCAUCACUGGACGCAAGAAGGAAACCCUUACCCCAACCCCACUGAAAUGAUUUAGAUGUCCAGGUGAGACAGCCAGCAAAGAAAGACACAUGAAGCAAAUGGAGCCACACGUGAUGAUCAUACUGAUCUCUGCUAAAUCAAGCUACAGCACACAGGAGUCCCAAAGCUUGCUGGGCCUUCUCUCACCUGCAUGUUCACUCUUAUUAAAUUAUGAUGAGCCCUCUGACAAACUGUCAUAUUUGAAGGACCUUUUACCAGAGAAGAGGAGGGGGAGGAAGAGAGAAAUCAAAAAAGAUAAGCAAAAGGGCUGGGCUUGCUGUGUGAUCACAGAUAAAAUACCAAACAGUUAAAUAAUGCUGGAGGGUGACCUCUUAUGUGACCCAAUCAGAGAUUUGACAUUUAUCUCCUGAAUGUGACAUCCCAUCUCAUCAAGGAUUUGGGACAGUGGGGAUGAGGAGACACGUUCUCUCUCCCUUUCCUUGCUCAGCCUUGUUCUCUCUGUUUACUCUUUGGGCUUCAGUGCACUUUUGUGGCCAAGCCCAGUUUGUGGCCUGCCCCUUGCAUGGCCAUCUCUGCAGUAUCAGUGAAAACUCAACAGCCCCUCUGUGUGGCCACACUUUUUUUCUUUUCUAAAAACAAUGAGAUACUUAUAUCCACCCCAUGCAAAUUCCUCCAGGAUAUUGCUCUUGAGUCAUCCUUGAGAAAUUUCCGUCUUGAAACAUGUCUAUCUCCAUGUUGGGAAAUUUAAUUAGUACUCCUAUUGUAGGGAUUAGGGAAAGCACAACUACACUUUUCAUCAGCUUCAAUGAUUUCACCAAAGGGCAUUUAUUUACUUAGUUAUACCAGCUGUUUGUUCACCAGAUACCGUCUCCUUUGACCCUAUGUGCACACAAACCCACGCACAGCGGAUGUUGACUAUGAGAACUGAUAAUAUCACACCCAUUUUAGAUACAUCAUUGAGGCAAAAAGGGACAUUUAUGGGAGAUAUUUUUCUUUUUGUUGUGGAAAUUCUGACAAUCUCAUUUUAUUUUCUCAUUCAAAUUAUUAAAUGAUUCUCUCUCUCUCUCUCUCUGCUUACAUAGGGGUCAUCAUUUGUUCUUUUAAUCCAUUUCAAGAGCAUGUCCCCUUUUGCCGUAUUCAGGGAUGAUUGCCCCCUACCUGAACCCCAUCUUGCUCCAACAAACAAGUCAUAUAAUCAGAGAUCGCACUCUUAGUCAAAAGUCUGACCAGUUAAAGAAUUAAUUGCCUGCGCCAGGGAGUAUGGAAAGCAAAAAAGAAACUCUGUUAUGAUUUCUAUAGAUGGAAGGAGAAAUGCACUAUUUGAAUGAUAGAGUUUAAUUGUCAUUAUCUAGAAAAGAUACUUCAUUUAAACUUCUCCUUUACUUAAAAUAAACACCUCAAUGCUCACAUUCCUGCCUGGAACAUUUUUAGCAAUAACUGCUGGUUGUCAAUGACAACAAUCAUAUUUAAUUGUUCAUCCUGACAUGCUCCAGCACUCUAUUAAGCACAGAUUACUAUAGAUUGAAUAAAUGAAUAGCAAAGAUGCUGGCCAAGAGCUCUGAACGUAUCAGUGGAAAUAAUGAAUUGCAUCAUCCUUCCAUGAAAAUGCAGGAAGGGCCAACACAGGUCAAGAGCUUGUUAGAGUUUCAGGUUGUCCAUUUUGACUGAAUUAAAAAGAAAGCAAGUUUAUUAUGGAUUAUACAUGUAAGCAGGGAGAGGAUGAAGGUCAAAUUUCUUGAUUAGGUAUUAUUUAGCUAUUUUACCAUAUCUCAAAGUUAUAAUUCAGAAAUGAAAUGAAGUGUAUCUUGUUUCUUAUAUGAAUUUUUAAAAGGUACACAGUAGAUAGUCUUACUGAAUUUUAGUUUAAUUGCACUUUCAUCUCAAUAUUAUUAUUUUAUCAAGCCAGAUAAGUAAAUAAUAUCCUUUCAUCAGGUAUCAGAGCACAGUUGUAAUAUAAAUGGGAUUAGCAUAAUGAAUGCCUUUGGAGAAAAUUAUAAAAUGUCCUUUCAUGCACAUACAGUUUUAUAAACAUGACUUUCCUUUGUUUUAAUUCAAUCUCUGAUGGAAAUGCACAAAUUUUAAAAUUCUGGGAAGAACAAACUUAUCUGAUCAUUUUUAAGUAAUUGAUAGAUCACAGUAGAAUUAUGUUUUUCUUUUAAGUGAUGAGGAUAGAAAAUUUGAGUUGUUUAAUUAGACAUGUGACUGAACCCAGACGUAAGGGGAUCACUUUGGUGCCCUGGAAAGUACUUUGUACUGAAUGGGGAAGUCCAGAUAUCAUAUUCUGGUGUUGGGCUAAAUACUAAUUACAAAACCAUCAGACAAAAUUAUUGUUAUUAUUAUUUUGCAGCAAGUGACUGUUAACAUUGAAUGUGUGUUAUCAACUUAAAAGUCUAUUCUUUCUUGAAAAUAUGUGUCAUAAAUAUUUUCUCCUCAAAGAAUAAACACACCUUUUAUAAAUGAGUUGAUUUAUUACUGAACUAUCUAUUUAUGACAGCAUGCUUCUUCCAUUUAUCCAAUAAUUAUUUGGUUAACAAUCACAUUUCAUAGGCUUAAUGUUUUAUAAUUGUUUUGGUAAACCUCCUGAAUAUCUCUAUGUGUACAGAAAGCAGGGAAUGGGCAUUUUAAG